rnacentral:tRNA from 1 species
GGGGGUAUAGCUCAGUUGGGAGAGCGCUGCGUUCGCAUCGCAGAGGUUGGGGGUUCGAAUCCCCCUAUCUCCACCA